AUUGAACGCUGGCGGCAUGCUUUACACAUGCAAGUCGAACGGUAACAGGCCUUCGGGUGCUGACGAGUGGCGAACGGGUGCGUAAUGCAUCGGAACGUACCCAGAGGUGGGGGAUAACGCAGCGAAAGCUGUGCUAAUACCGCAUGUGAUCUGAGGAUGAAAGCGGGGGACCGAGCAGCAAUGUUUGGCCUCGCGCCUUUGGAGCGGCCGAUGUCGGAUUAGCUAGUUGGUGGGGUAAAGGCCUACCAAGGCGACGAUCCGUAGCUGGUCUGAGAGGACGACCAGCCACACUGGGACUGAGACACGGCCCAGACUCCUACGGGAGGCAGCAGUGGGGAAUUUUGGACAAUGGGCGCAAGCCUGAUCCAGCAAUGCCGCGUGCGGGAAGAAGGCCUUCGGGUUGUAAACCGCUCUUGGCAGGAACGAAACGGUGUCCGCUAAUACCGGGCGCUAAUGACGGUACCUGCAGAAUAAGCACCGGCUAACUACGUG
rnacentral:rRNA from 1 species